rnacentral:lncRNA from 1 species
CUAACGGUUCUUGUUUGAAAACACUUGUAGACAUAAAAAAAUUAGUGGAUUAAAUUACCACUAAUUUGAUCUUCUUAAAAAAAAAAAUAAUUUUAUGGAUAAGUCUCUCAUCUUAUGGAUAAGUCUCUCUCAUCUCCAACUAUAAAAGGAUAAUAAUAAUAAGAAGAAAAUUAUAAGCAACUAGAAUUGGGGAAUUUGAAAUUCAAAUUCUCUAUCUUCACCUAUAAAUAGAGAUGUCUUCCAUCAACGAGAGGGAGAGAGGAAGAAAUUGAGAAACCAGAAAAACUCCAGAAAGGAAAAUCCUAAGAAGAAAUCCAAAAGCAACUUCAUACGAGAAAAGAGGCUUCACAACAAAAGAAAGAGCUUCAUCAAAUCUCCCUGCAAGUUCGGUAAACGGCAAAAGAACUAAUACAAUCGUUCUUUGCCAUUCAACAAGGUCAUUUGAGAAUAAGUCAUUUGUGGCCCUCAAUUGACCUUCGAAAUCAAGAAAAUGUUAUUGUCGUCUUUCAAAGUGUGAUUAAGGCAAAAGAAUCAGAGGGAAAAUAUUCUUUAUUGGAAAGAAUAUUAUUUCUAAGAUUGUACCUGCAAUAUUCUUAUAUUUAAUAAAUCAUUUGUUCGCGUUAUUUUUCCUAUUUUAUUUUGCUAAUUUUUGUAGGAUAAAAUUUUACGAAAUUUGUGCGUACAAAUUUCUGGCACGCCCGGUGAGACCUCUCUGCCUCUUAUCUCUUUUGUUAGAAGAUUGAUCUCUACUAUGUCUAUGGCACCCAAAAGAACUCAAGUUAUGCAUGUCAACAAGGGCAAUGACAAGAUCGUCAUUGCACAAUCGACACAUGACACUGCUACAGGUCCCAUAACUCGUAGCAAAGCAAAAUCAACAUCUUCAAUCUUAACAAAACAAACAAGUGAGUCUGCUUGUUUGCUAAAACAGGUAAGAACACGCGAUGAGCACCAACCACUCAUCACCUUGGUUUCUCUAGGGGCAAAGGGCCAUAGUCCUCGUAGUAGGGGAAAACUCCCUUCAACACUACAGGACUUUGGGGACAAAUCUCCUUGUUCUAUUACCGAUGCCAACUCUAGCACCGGGUCGCCAACUGGAAUGUCAAAGGAGGAAAACUACUCCAAUCAUUCUGACUCUUUUACUUCUCUUCCUUCUCGAUGACCAUGCCGGUAAUGGCAACGGGCACUACGUCUGUAGAGGAGCAAUUGGAAGAGAUGGCCCACGCCAUCGCCAAACUCACCAAGAUGGUCGAGGAGAAGGAUAUGCAGAUAGCCUCUCUCAUAAACAAGGUUGAGGCACAAGUACAAAAUACGGGUGAGUCAAGUCACGGACUCAACUGCCCUUUGAAUGUUGCAUCUCCUCUCGAUGAUGCACCACAUAUGUAUAGGACAAUGCAAGGUGAAAGACAAAUGACGGAAUCUGCUUCAGUGGUGUCAUUAUCUGUCCAAUAACUUUAGGACAUUAUAACUAACACCAUUAUGGCGCAGUACGAUGAACCCUCACAGAGUACGCUCAUGUACUCUAAACCUUACACUAAGAGGAUUGAUAACCUACGUAUGCCUAUGGGUUAUCAACCUCCAAAAUUUCAAUUAUUUGACGGAAAAGGCAAUUCAAAACAACAUGUUGCCCAUUUCGUUGAAACUUGUAACAAUACAAGUACAGAUGGUGACUUAUUAGUUAAACAAUUUGUCUGUUCUUUUCGAGGGAAUGCUUUCGAUUGGUACAUAGACCUUGCACCAGAGUGUAUCGAUAGUUGGGACCAAAUGGAACGUGAAUUCCUCAACUGUUUCUAUAGCACCCGAUGAACUAUAAGUAUGAUGGAACUUACUAACACUAAGCAAUGGAAAGAUGAACCGGUUGUAGACUAUAUCAACCGUUGGCGUUCCUUAAACCUCGACUGCAAAGAUAGAUUAUUUGAGGUAUCAGCCGUGGAGAUGUGCAUACAAGGAAUGCAUUGGGGUCUCCUAUACAUUCUCCAAGGGAUACGACCCCGUACCUUUCAAGAAUUAGCAACCCGAGCACAUGACAUGGAGCUCAGGAUAGCCAACCAUGAUGCUAAAAAUGACCUUAUCAUUGACCAGCAGAGAGAAAGACACAAUGGGAAAGCAAGUGGUAAGAAUUCAAUAAAACCCAUCCAGGAGUCAAUGACGGUAAAUGCGACUCCUAUCAAAAUCUCAAUGCGAGAUAAAAAGAAGGAAAUAAAAAAGGCUAGACUAACCCAGGAAAAUGAAAGGUGUCGGUUAAGCUUGAAGGAAUUAGAGGAGAAGAAGUAUCCUUUUCCUGACUCAGAUGUGUCUAGCAUGUUAGAAGACCUACUCUAGAAAAAUGUUAUUGAGCUACCUGAGUGUAAGCGUCCAGAAGAAAUGGGUCGUGUUAAUGAUCCGAACUAUUGUCAUUACCAUCGAAUCAUUAGUCACCCAGUGGAGAAAUGUUUCAUCUUAAAAGAUCUUAUAAUGAAACUUGCAAAAUAAGGAAGAAUUCAUCUGGAUUUGGAUAAAGUAGUAGAGUCAAAUCAUGCUACAGUCACAUUUGGGUCCCUUGAUCCUAUUUUUUUUACAUGUUUCACCUAAGACACUGGGGGCAUGCACCGAUACUAUCCAAUGCAAGUCACCGAAACCAAAGCAAACACAAGUGUCAUGUCAAGACACCAUUCGUCACUUCCAUUUUGAGAAUAAAUCAAUGUCAUAUAACGAAGAAGGUUGGACAUUGGUGACACGAAGAAGACCUCACAAGAAGCAAGAAUCUCAUCCUUACCCAAAUCUUCCUAGGAAGGAACAACGUAAGCAAAAUAUUCAUCAAUAUGCGAAGAAGAAAGAAGAAAAGAAACCUAAAAGAAAACAAACGAUUGUACAGGUUGAUGACCUCUUGGUACAAAAGCACAUCACCCCUAUCACCUUAGGAGAACACUUCCCUCUGGAGUUCUUCAAUAGAGGGAUGGUGACAUCAACUCAUCUGGUCUCUUGUCAUGAGAUUUCGGAAGAAGAUGAGUCAGGUAAAAAUGAAGAAAACGCUUUCGGUGCAGAGCCAAGCAAAACCAAGGAAGAUGAUGAGGUACUUAAGAAUCCAUCACUUUAUGCCACAAAAAUAAAAGGGGCAAAACGACUUGAGGACAAAGGCCACGAUUGUGCAACAUGUUGUGCAAACAUCACCCACACCAGUAGCGAUGAAAAGAGCAUGACAUCAAAGUUUACCACAAUUGUUUUCAAACCUCGGCAUUCUAGUGAUGCUCCUUAAAGCAUGAGCCUAAACUGCAUAUUGCUCCUAUCCUACAAAAGCUUAAAUUGUAGUAAAAAAAAAUAAAAAUCAGUCUUGGCAAACUUCUUAAACCGAGGAACAAACUCUUUGUAUUUAAAAAGUCAAAUUCGGAGAUUUCAAACUAAAAUCUCUAACUUCUCUACAUACAAGUGUUCUUUUCUUUCAGCAUGACGCAGGGUGAUGCAACCUAAAAGCUAAAUCUAAAAAUGAAGCUUCAAAAGUCAAAAUCAAACUCCAAACAUUCUUCAACAAGCUCGUGGAAGAAUAUCAAAUACAAACAAAAGUGUCAUUCAUCCAUCUUCAAAGCUAAAGAAGACAAGGUUGGGUUUUUCAAAACACUUGAGGAAAUUGUUUAUAAGUUUGCUUGAGAUAAAGUCAUCAUUGACCCUCAAUUAAAUUUUGCUCCAAGAACACAUGGUUACCACCUUUGGAUUAAAAUCAAGUCCAAGCUUGACACAUUCUUCAACAAGCUCGUGGAAGAAUAUCAAACACAAUACAAAAAUGUCAUUCAUCCACUUUUAAGAUUGAAGAAAUCAAGACAAAGGACUUCUUUUGUUCUCUAAAAUGCUUUAGAAAGGUCUUCAUAAGUUUGGUUGAGAAUAAGUCAUCUUUGACCCUCAAUUAAACUUUUAUUCCAAGGACGUGAAUUUAUCAUCCUUCGAUCAAACUCAAGACAAGUGAUGCUCUUGGCCUGCAUGAGCAUAAAUUGCGUACGACGCACCAAAAAAAAAAAAAAGUUUGCUAAGUCGAAAACCUAAAAAGGCGACUUAGGCAAAAGUUAGGACAUAUGCUCGCAAGAUUAAAUCUUUCUUUUAGUCUUGACAAAAGUUAAGAGCAAAAAAAAAAAAAAAAAGAAGAAAGUUUGCUAAGUUGAAAACCUGAAAAGGCGACUUAGACAAAAGUUAUGACAUAUGCUCGCAAGAUUAAAUCUUUCUUUUAGUCUUGGCAAAAGUUAAGAGCGUAAAAUAAUAAUAAUAAUAAAAAAAAAGAACUCCGGGAAACCACUCAAAUUUAGUCACAAUAAAAAAAAAAUAAAAAAAAAAUUAUUACUUCAAGACUCACCCCAUCCACAUGACAAUGCAUGUACAUGAUGCGUCUUGAAGUGGGGACAUUUGUAGGCAUAAAAAAAUUAGUGGAUUAAAUUACCAUUAAUUUGAUCUUCUAAAAAAAAAAAAAAUCAUCUUAUGGAUAAGUCUCUCAUCUUAUGGAUAAGUCUCUCUCAUCUCCAACUAUAAAAGGAUAAUAAUAAUAAGAAGAAAAUUAUAAGCAACUAGAAUUGGGGAAUUUGAAAUUCAAAUUCUCUAUCUUCACCUAUAAAUAGAGAUGUCUUCCAUCAACGAGAGGGAGAGAGGAAGAAAUUGAGAAACCAGAAAAACUCCAGAAAGGAAAAUCCUAAGAAGAAAUCCAAAAGUAACUUCAUACGAGAAAAGAG